rnacentral:rRNA from 1 species
CCCGUGAACUAAUAUUACCUUUGGGGUGCAGGAAUGUCACGCUCGCGUGCUCCCCUGCGCCCCACACGCCCUUGCUCGCCUCUCGUCGCUCCAAACCUGUUUGGCUGAGGCGCGAGGCGCUGCUAGGGCGGUAAAAACGAACCCCGGCGCGGACUGCGCCAAGGAAAACUAAACGAAUAGCACUGCCGCUGCACCCACGUGUGUGGCUGCGUAGAUGCUAACUUCGAUACCUUAACGACUCUCGGCAACGGAUAUCUCGGCUCUCGCAUCGAUGAAGAACGUAGCGAAAUGCGAUACUUGGUGUGAAUUGCAGAAUCCCGUGAACCAUCGAGUCUUUGAACGCAAGUUGCGCCCGAAGCCAUUCGGCCGAGGGCACGUCUGCCUGGGCGUCACGUAUCGCGUUGCUCCCCYAACACUGCCCCUCGAGGGCCUUGUGUCUGYGGAAGCGAAGAUUGGCAUCCCGCGCUCUGGCACGGUUUGCCUAAAAGCAAGCCUCGGGGUGACGAAAGGUCACGACAAGCGGUGGAUGAUUGUUCUCGGCCGUGUUUGUGUCGUGCCCGUCCGUUCCCCAUUGAGCUAAGCAUCCCCUACACGCCGUCUCGACGGUGCUUGCAUCGCGACC